rnacentral:tRNA from 1 species
GGGGGCGUAGCUCAGUUGGUUAGAGCGCCUGCCUGUCACGCAGGAGGUCGCGGGUUCGAGUCCCGUCGUCCCCGCCA